ensembl:lncRNA
UAUAAUCAGGGUGCGAUUUGCCGGUGGGGAUGGUGGGGAUUAUCCCCCCCUCUGGUUUACACGUCCUACCCUCUGCUGAAUUGUUUUUAUCCUCGGUGGGGAUAAAAAUUAUCCCCCCCACCCAAAGUAUUUUCACCAUUACAUCGUAAUAAUUAACAACCAAAAUACACAGGGUCCGUCCUCAUUUUGAUUGUGCUGUGAUUUUGAUCUACCGGGAGCGAGUCAGAGGCGUCGCGCUCGCAGAAAGCAGUUUUAUUUUGAAAACCAACCGGAUUUACUUGCGUUUCUAUGGUUUCAAAAGUCAACUUCCUGUCCCCGCCGAAACAAAAGCUUAAACCAAAUGGACGAAAAAUGAAAAGAAUACAGAGCAGCAUAUCUUCAUAUUUGAAAGAGCUUGAGUCUGCGGCUUUUGAUUUGGGCAUCCAGGCUCGUAGGAUUGGGAGAGUGUUUGAUGUGCGCUGGCUGUCCUCAUCCUGCACGUCAGUGACAGCUCUCUGGGAGAGCUAUCCAGCCUUCCCGGCCCGCAGAUUUGCAGAGAUGUGGUUGAAGCAGGGUCACCACGCUGCUAUCGAUCCCCCAACAGGAAAGCAAAAAAAAGAGGCUGAAGUGCGUCAUCAGAGCGGACUGUUUUCGUAGUCUGACCUAUAGUCUACCCGAUUAACCCAUAAAAAAAAAAAAACGUCUUGACAGGACAUUGUGGUAUUUCAUAUUUUCUUUUGAACUGAUAUCGGGGAAAAAAAAAAUAUAUUUUUUUUAUUUGGCACAUUUAAAAACAAUAUUAGCUAUGAGAAAAUAUUUCUGCAAAUGCAGUGGUUAAGUUCACGUUCAAAAUAGGCCUACCGCCUACGUUAUGAAGCCUAAGUGUAAGGUUUAAAUACACAAAGUCACAAGAUCAACUGUUUUCAUAAGUUUUCACACUGUUGUGUGGUUAUUUUUCCUGAAUAAAAUGUUUCUCAAAAUUAUCCCCCCCUCUGGUUUUUUCACAAAUCGCACCCUGAGUAUGAUACAUUUUGUCUUACAAGUAGGUUGUCUCAUAUCUGGCUGCUGACCCGAGGCUGCCGUGUGACGCCGCAGACCCAACUUCCGGGUAGCCGGCUUGGUUUGUUUGGUUUGGUUAGCAGGACGCUUAGCGUCGACCUGCUAUCUCGGUUUGUAUAAAUUUUUCCGGUAUUUAUAUCUGCGACCUGUUCUGCAUACUCUG